GACGAACGCUGGCGGCGUGCUUAACACAUGCAAGUCGAACGGGAUGAUCUUAAAGCUUGCUUUUAGAGAAUCUAGUGGCAAACGGGUGAGUAACACGUAGACAACCUGCCGACAGGAUGGGGACAACAUUCCGAAAGGAAUGCUAAUACCGAAUGAAGCGGAGGAGAGGCAUCUCUCCUUCGUGAAAGAUGGCCUCUAUUUAUAAGCUAUCACCUGUUGAUGGGUCUGCGUCUGAUUAGCUAGUUGGUGAGGUAACGGCUCACCAAGGCGACGAUCAGUAGCCGGUCUGAGAGGAUGAACGGCCACAUUGGGACUGAGACACGGCCCAGACUCCUACGGGAGGCAGCAGUGGGGAAUCUUCCGCAAUGGGCGCAAGCCUGACGGAGCAACGCCGCGUGAGUGAAGAAGGUCUUCGGAUCGUAAAGCUCUGUUGACGGGGACGAACGUGCGGAGUGCGAAUAGCGCUUUGUAAUGA
rnacentral:rRNA from 1 species